rnacentral:miRNA from 1 species
AGUGGCUGCAUAUCUGAUGAG